AUUGAACGCUGGCGGCGUGCUUAACACAUGCAAGUCGAUCGGUAACAGGUGUAGCAAUACAUGCUGACGAGAGGCGGACGGGUGAGGAAUAUUUGGGAAUCUGCCCAUCAGCGGGGGACAACCCGGGGAAACCCGGGCUAAUACCGCAUACGCUCUACGGAGGAAAGCCGGGGACCGCAAGGCCUGGCACUGAUGGAUGAGCCCAAAUCGGAUUAGCUAGUUGGCGGGGUAACGGCCCACCAAGGCGACGAUCCGUAGCUGGUCUGAGAGGACGAUCAGCCACACCGGAACUGUGACACGGUCCGGACUCCUACGGGAGGCAGCAGUGGAGAAUAUUGGACAAUGGGGGAAACCCUGAUCCAGCGACGCCGCGUGGGUGAAGAAGGCCUGCGGGUUGUAAGGCCCUUUCGGUAGGGACGAAAGCUCUUGCUCUAAUAAUGCAAGAGGUUGACUUAACCUACAUAAGAAGCACCGGCUAACUCUGUGCCAGCCGCCGCAGUAA
rnacentral:rRNA from 1 species